rnacentral:rRNA from 1 species
UACGUAGGGUGCGAGCGUAAUCGGAAUUACUGGGCGUAAAGCGUGCGCAGGCGGUGAUGUAAGACAGAUGUGAAAUCCCCGGGCUCAACCUGGGAACUGCAUUUGUGACUGCAUCGCUGGAGUGCGGCAGAGGGGGAUGGAAUUCCGCGUGUAGCAGUGAAAUGCGUAGAUAUGCGGAGGAACACCGAUGGCGAAGGCAAUCCCCUGGGCCUGCACUGACGCUCAUGCACGAAAGCGUGGGGAGCAAACAGG